rnacentral:rRNA from 1 species
CUGGGUUUGACAUCCCCUGACGGCGUAUGAAAGUACGUUUUCGAAAGACAGGGAGACAGGUGCUGCAUGGCUGUCGUCAGCUCGUGUCGUGAGAUGUUCGGUUAAGUCCGAAAACGAGCGCAACCCCCGGGUCUAGUUACAAGUGUCUAGACCGACUGCCUGCGACAAGUGGGAGGAAGGUGGGGAUGACGUCAAGUCAGCAUGGCCUUUACAUCCAGGGCUACACACACGCUACAAUGGCGCGCACAAUGGGACGCAAGACCGCGAGGUGGAGCAAAUCCUGAAAGCGCGUCGUAGUUCGGAUUGCAGGCUGCAACUCGCCUGCAUGAAGCUGGAGUUGCUAGUAAACGCAGGUCAGCACACUGCGUUGAG